rnacentral:rRNA from 1 species
AUUGAACGCUGGCGGCAGGCUUAACACAUGCAAGUCGAGCGAGCGGCGGACGGGUGAGUAAUGUCUGGGAAACUGCCUGAUGGAGGGGGAUAACUACUGGAAACGGUAGCUAAUACCGCAUACCAUCAGAUGUGCCCAGAUGGGAUUAGCUAGUAGGUGGGGUAAUGGCUCACCUAGGCGACGAUCCCUAGCUGGUCUGAGAGGCUGACCAGCCACUCAUGAACUUAGACACGGUACAGACUCCUACGGGAGGCAGCAGUGGGGAAUAUUGCACAAUGGACGCAGUCCGGAUGCAGCCAUGCCGCGUGUGAGAAGGAGGCCUUCGGGUUGUAGAGCACUUUCAUCGAGGAGGCGUUACUCGCAGAAGAAGCACCGGCUAACUCCGUGCCAACCGCCGCGGUAAUUC